AAUUGAUUAACUACGUGCAAAGGUAGAUUGUAAAGUCCAUCCUCACUCUGACCUUGGUAUAAUACCUGCUUCAUGUGGAUAUCCUUCACGAGAAACUUGAUCAAUAGUAACAUGAUAAUUAGCUCCAGAGUCAAGAGUCCAAGUUUGCACUAGGGAUUGGUGUUGGAAGUAAAAUGAGUUUGUGGUUUGGGCAGGAUUGGCGAGAUGGAUGAAAG
rnacentral:misc_RNA from 1 species